ACGUAGGUGGCGAGCGUUAUCCGGAAUUACUGGGCGUAAAGCGCACGCAGGCGGUCUUUUGGGUCUGACGUGAAAGCUCCUGGCUUAACUGGGAGAGGUCGUUGGAAACUGGGAGACUUGAGGCAAUGAGAGGGGUGUGGAAUUCCCGGUGUAGUGGUGGAAUGCGUAGAGAUCGGGAGGAACACCAGUGGCGAAGGCAGGUCACUGGGCGUUUCCUGACGCUGAGGCGCGAAAGCGUGGGUAGCAAACAG
rnacentral:rRNA from 1 species